rnacentral:rRNA from 1 species
UGGGGAAUCUUGCACAAUGGGGCAACCCUGAUGCAGCGACGCCGCGUGAGCGAUGAAGCCCUUCGGGGCGUAAAGCUCUUUCGACCGGAACGAUAAUGACGGUACCGGGAGAAGAAGCUGCGGCUAACUACGUGCCAGCAGCCGCGGUAAUACGUAGGCAGCAAGCGUUGUUCGGAGUUACUGGGCGUAAGGAGUGCGUAGGCGGUUUUCUAAGUUCGGUGUGAAAUCUCCCGGCUUAACUGGGAGGGUGCGCCGAAGACUGGGAAGCUGGAGUGUGGGAAAGGCAGGCGGAAUUCCUGGUGUAGCGGUGAAAUGCGUAGAUAUCAGGAGGAACACCGGCGGUGUAGACGGCUUGCUAGACCAUAACUGACGCUGAGGCACGAAAGCGUGGGUAGCAAACA